rnacentral:lncRNA from 12 species
AUUUCUUUGUAUCAUGCAUGUUCUUGGCACACAGGGUUCACCAAAUAUCCGCUCAUUGAUUGAGGCACCGCCGACGGGGUGCUGCCGUACCCCUCAGCUCCGGGUGUGCUGUCCCCCAAGGCCGCUGGCAUGGAGGGUGCCAGCGUGCAGCGCAGUCUCGAGCGUGGCGGCGGGGCGUGAGGAUACAUCCCAGCAUUCUCAUCACUUCCAGGGACUCCGUUUUCUGGCCUGUGAAGUUGGGACCAGCCCGAUGGCCUCGAAGAUUGCAAGUGGGCUCAGAGCUCAUGAUCUCUGGGCUGUGGACACCUAAUCUCUCUACAAACUCUUCAGUAUCAGAAAGCCUCGCAAGUUAUUUGUUGGUAAGUUAACCCAUCUUUCUAAUGCUUCAAAACUAGUUUCUAAUAUUUAGGUAAUUCCUUUUCCUAAGAGCAAAUUCUUCAAAGUUUGGAGGAAAAUUAAAAAAAAAUUUUUUUGGAAUAUUUUUAAAAAAAAGACUUUUGAAUUUCCAAUAUUAAUAAGCGGGCCUAUGUUAAAGAUUAAUUUUUUACAAAGUACUUAGAACCUUCAGGCCCAUAACCAUUAGAUGAAUGCAAAUGAAUGCCUAUCAAAGAUUUUAUUUAUCUCAUUAAUUAAUGAGGGAGCCAAUACGAUGUUAUAACCAGCUCAAAAUAGAAUUCAGCACAUACAUACACAGCGGCAAUCAGGAACAUCGAAGUGAAUUAACAAAUAGAUGCAAAACUGGUCGAAAUCCACAGAGCAAUAAUCAAUUGCAUCACCACACAACACAAUUUGCAUUUCUAGAAUAAUAAUUGCUAUUAUUAGUGGAAAAUGGAAUAAACAAUGUUCUAUCAAAACA